rnacentral:rRNA from 1 species
AACGAACGCUGGCGGCAUGCCUAACACAUGCAAGUCGAACGAGACCUCCGGGUCUAGUGGCGCACGGGUGCGUAAAGCGUGGGAACCUGCCCUUAGGUUCGGAAUAACUCCCCGAAAGGGGUGCUAAUACCGGGUAAUGUCUUCGGACCAAAGAUUUAUCGCCUUUGGAUGGGCCCGCGUUGGAUUAGCUAGUUGGUAGGGUAAAAGCCUACCAAGGCGACGAUCCAUAGCUGGUCGGAGAGGAUGAUCAGCCACACUGGGACUGAGACACGGCCCAGACGCCUACGAGAGGCAGCAGUGGGGAAUAUUGGACAAUGGGCGAAAGCCUGAGCCAGCAAGGCCGGGUGAGUGAUGAAGGCGUUAUGGUUGUAAAGCUCUUUUACCCGGGAUGAUAAUGACAGUACCGGGAGAAUAAGCACCGGCUAACUCCGUG